CCCUUAGAUGUCCUGGGCCGCACGCGCGCUACACUGAACGGAUCAGCGCGUUUUCCCUUCCCGAGAGGGACGGGUAACCUGCUGAACCCCGUUCGUGGUAGGGAUCGGGGCUUGCAAUUAUUCCCCGUGAACCAGGAAUGCCCAGUAAGUGCAAGUCAUAAGCUUGCGUUGAUUACGGCCCUGCCCUUUGUACACACCGCCCGUCGCUACUACCGAUUGAACGUUUUAGUGAGGUACUCGGACUGAGCCUCAGAAGAUUCACGUCUUUUGUGCUGCUCGGGAAGAUUCCCAAACUUGAGCGUUUAGAGGAAGUAAAAGUCGUAACA
rnacentral:rRNA from 1 species